UACGUAGGGUGCAAGCGUUACUCGGAAUUACUGGGCGUAAAGCGUGCGCAGGCGGUUUUGUAAGACUGUCGUGAAAUCCCCGGGCUUAACCUGGGAAUGGCGAUGGUGACUGCAAGGCUAGAGUUUGGCAGAGGGGGGUAGAAUUCCACGUGUAGCAGUGAAAUGCGUAGAUAUGUGGAGGAACACCGAUGGCGAAGGCAAUCCCCUGGACCUGUACUGACGCUCAUGCACGAAAGCGUGGGGAGCAAACAGG
rnacentral:rRNA from 1 species